rnacentral:rRNA from 1 species
ACAGGUGGAGAUUCCUGUACUAUGAUAUGACAGAACUGUGGGGACACGUGCAGAGAGCGGAAGCCGGGAAUGGGAUCCCGGUGCAAGCGAGGUACCAGUCACAUUGGAAAAACCGUGUGGCAAUGGGAAGACGUGAUGCGGAGUGAAGUUUAGUAAUGAAGUCCGUGAGCUGUGCGUCAAGAAAAGCCGCUAUUGUUCAUACCAUACCCGUACCGUAAACCGACACAGGUGGAUGAGGAGAGAAUCCUAAGGCCGGCGGAAGAAGCAUUGUCAAGGAACUCGGCAAAAUGACCCCGUAACUUCGGGAGAAGGGGUGCCUGUGAGAGCAGGCCGCAGAGAAUAGGCUCAAGCAACUGUUUAGCAAAAACACAGGUCUAUGCGAAACCGAAAGGUGAGGUAUAUGGGCUGACGCCUGCCCGGUGCUGGAAGGUUAAGAGGAGAGGUUAGCGCAAGCGAAGCUUUGAAUUUAAGCCCCAGUAAACGGCGGCCGUAACAAUAACGGUCCUAAGGUAGCGAAAUUCCUUGUCGGGUAAGUUCCGACCCGCACGAAAGGCGUAAUGAUUUGAGCGCUGUCUCGACAAUGCAUCCGGUGAAAUUGAAGUACCAGUGAAGAUGCUGGUUACCUGCGCCAGGACGGAAAGACCCCAUGGAGCUUUACUCCAGUUUGGUACUGGGAUCCGGUACUGCCUGUACAGGAUAGGUGGGAGGCUGAGAAUCGGUAACGCCAGUUGCCGAGGAGCCGCUGUUGGGAUACCACCCUUGCAGUAUUGGGUUUCUAACCAGCCGCCGUGACCCGGCGGUGGGACAAUGCCAGACGGGGAGUUUGACUGGGGCGGCCGCCUCCGAAAGGGUAUCGGAGGCGCCCAAAGGUUCCCUCAGGAUGGACGGAAACCAUCCAAAGAGUGCAAAGGCAGAAGGGAGCUUGACUGCGACACCGACGGGUGGAGCAGGUACGAAAGUAGGGCUUAGUGAUCCGGUGGUAUUAAGUGGGAAUGCCAUCGCUCAACGGAUAAAGCUACCCUGGGAUAACAGGCUUAUCACUCCCAAGUGUUCACAUCGACGGAGUGGUUUGGCACCUCGAUGUCGGCUCAUCGCAUCCUGGGGCUGUAGUAGGUCCCAAGGGUUGGGCUGUUCGCCCAUUAAAGCGGUACGCGAGCUGGGUUCAGAACGUCGUGAGACAGUUCGGUCCCUAUCCGGCGUGGGCGUAGGAUAUCUGAGAGGAGCUGUCCUUAGUACGAGAGGACCGGGAUGGACGGGCCGCUGGUGCACCGGUUAGACUGCCAAGUCUAUAGCCGGGUAGCCAAGCCCGGAAGGGAUAAACGCUGAAGGCAUCUAAGCGUGAAGCCCCCCUCAAGAUGAGAUAUCCCAUCCGAAAGGAGUAAACCCCCUUGAAGACGACGAGGUCGAUAGGGCAGAGGUGGAAGUGUGGUAACACAUGGAGCUGACUGCUACUAAUAGGGUGAGGGCUUGACCG